rnacentral:rRNA from 1 species
GAAGUCGUAACAAGGUCUCCGUAGGUGAACCUGCGGAGGGAUCAUUG